UACAGAGGUCCCAAGCGUUGUUCGGAUUCACUGGGCGUAAAGGGUGCGUAGGUGGUUGGGAAGGUUUGAUGUGAAAGCUCGGAGCUUAACUCCGAAAUGGCAUUGAAUACUUCUUAACUUGAGGGUCGGAGGGGAGACUGGAAUUCUCGGUGUAGCAGUGAAAUGCGUAGAUAUCGAGAGGAACACCAGUGGCGAAGGCGAGUCUCUGGACGACUCCUGACACUGAGGCACGAAAGCUAGGGGAGCAAACAGG
rnacentral:rRNA from 1 species